UUUCCUACGGGGGGCAGCAGUGGGGAAUAUUGGACAAUGGGCGAAAGCCUGAUCCAGCAAUGCCGCGUGUGUGAAGAAGGCCUGCGGGUUGUAAAGCACUUUAAGUGGGGAAGAACGGGAUUGUGCUAAUACCGCGAUCUUUUGACGUUACCCACAGAAUAAGCACCGGCUAACUCCGUGCCAGCAGCCGCGGUAAUACGGAGGGUGCGAGCGUUAAUCGGAAUUACUGGGCGUAAAGCGCAUGUAGGCGGUUUGAUAAGUCGGAUGUGAAAUCCCUGGGCUUAACCUGGGAAUGGCAUUCGAUACUGUCAGGCUAGAGUAGGAUAGAGGAGAGGGGAAUUCCGCGUGUAGCAGUGAAAUGCGUAGAUAUGCGGAGGAACACCAAUGGCGAAGGCACCUCUCUGGGUCCAUACUGACGCUGAGAUGCGAAAGCGUGGGGAGCAAACAGGAUUAGAUACCCCGGUAGUCAU
rnacentral:rRNA from 1 species